rnacentral:lncRNA from 1 species
AGUGCUCCUGCUGACCUUCCCUGUCUGCAGCCCAGCUUUGGACUGUGGAGAUGCCCUCAGCCUCUACUCAGUGGCUCCAGCCUCAUAUUUGCGUGCUAUACCUUUAACCUCAAGUUCUCUUGCUGCUAACUUAAGCUGUGACUGUCCAGGACCUGCACACACACAUAUAUGCACGCAUGCACACACACACACACACACACACACGCAGAAGGUGAACACACAGGAUGAGGCCCUGAAAACUCAUUUCACCCGUGUACCUCACCCAAAAAUUCCCCUUUGUACUCCUAUCUUUAUCUCUAACAGACAGCAUGAAGGUAGCCCGAAGUCCCCUCACCCUGUCUGUCCUCCUGAUUCUCUAGCCCAGUUCCCUCUAGCUCCAGCACAGACUCUUAUCUCCAGCCCUGACUGCUGAAACCCUCCAGCCCCAGCUCCAGCCCCUCAGGAGGGGACUGCGUGGGAGGAAUGACUCCAGCAAGCCGGCAGCUGACCCGUCUCUGGCCUGCAUGCCUCCCCCUGUGGUCCACUGCCGGUGGUCUUCAGCUCUCUCCUCGUCCCACCCCCAUGGUCUGCUGACAGCCCAGCCCAGUGCAUCCCUGCCAUCUCUGCUCUACCGCUGGUCCUCCCAACAACCAACUUACAGCUUCCAAUUGUGGACAAGAUAAGGACCAUUGCCCAGGCUGUCUAUGGAGCCAAAGAUAUCGAACUCUGUCCUGAGGCACAAGUCAAAAUAGAUCGUUACACUCAGCAGGGUUUUGGAAAUUUGCCCAUCUGCAUGGCAAAGACCGAUCUUUCUCUGUCUCACCAACCUGACAAAAAAGGUGUGCCAAGGGACUUCAUCUUACCUAUCAGUGAUGUCCGGGCCAGCAUAGGUGCUGGGUUCAUUUACCCUUUGGUCGGAACGGGAAGCAGAGAAUCUCCCCUCUGGCUCUAGUUGGAGAAUCCCAACCCAAGCAAGUCCAUCUUUGAACAAUAAACAUCUCCAGUACUGCUGGCUUUGGAAGACCCCAUGGUGCACCACUGACAUCAUGGCUCGGCUGGACUCUGGAAAGCAGGAAAUUGCUGGAGCAUGUUUGGGCAUCAAUGAUGUCACCCGCUACGAAUGCCGGGUGGGGUUACUGGACUGAGGGCCAUGAAAAAAGAAAGCUGCGGCCCUGCCCCGUGGACUCACUGCCAUUCUGUUCUUUCUCACGUUUCAGUUCAGCUCACUUUGUUUUCCGUCCCCCUCCCUCUACUGUAAAAGUAUGUACUCAUUGUUUCAUUUCCUGCUGGAUCUGAUUCAGGUCAGUGAUGAAGUUCUUUGC